GUGAAGAACGCAGCGAAAUGCGAUAAGUAGUGUGAAUUGCAGAAUUCAGUGAAUCAUCGAAUCUUUGAACGCACAUUGCGCCCCUUGGUAUCCCGAGGGGCAUGCCUGUUCGAGCGUCAUUUCACCACUCAAGCCUGGCUUGGUGUUGGGCGACGUCCCCUUUGGGGACGCGCCUCGAAACGCUCGGCGGCGUGGCACCGGCUUUAAGCGUAGCAGAAUCUUUCGCUUUGGAAGUCGGGGCCCCGUCUGCCGGAAGACCUACUCGCAAGGUUGACCUCGGAUCAGGCAGGGAUACCCGCUGAACUUAAGCAUAUCAAUAAGCGGAGGA
rnacentral:misc_RNA from 1 species